rnacentral:lncRNA from 1 species
CAGCAUGCUGUAGAAGUUAAAGAGACAUGAAGAAGAAAACACUUGGCUAGGAAAAUACGUGGGCAUUGGGUCUUGGAGUGUAAGAAAUACUUGCUUAGAGACGUAACAGGGAGAUAAAAAUCUGCCUAAAAACGCCAAGAAGAAUGAAAGAAUGUCACGCACAUGGAGAGCCACAAAUAAAUCAACCUGAGCAAGGCACAGACUGUUUAAAAAGGCUCUGCUCUAUGGGACUGGGCACAGAGGGUCCGGCAACAACGGGAAUGCUUCAGCAGCUCGCCACGCUGCGCAGUGUCUGAGAAGAGGCCUCUGCUCUGGGCUCCGCUUGCCGCUGGAGACGCCAAAGGUGACCUGCAUUCAUCCAUGGCAUCUGAGUAAGUUUAGUGCUAAAAUAUUAGCACAGGUUUUUCUUUUCCUGACGUAUACAUUUUUUUGGUGGACUCUGUUUUGUUCCUAUUCUCGUGUUAAUAGAAUCUUUGGUUGUAGUUUAUCUGGCUGUUUUCCAAAUGUAUCUAACCAUGGUUUGCAUUUCUGUUUUUCUUGCUGCACUGAGCACCUCACAGGACGUUCUCUGGAAAUGUUGCAGGACGCCAGUGGCGGCACCUGCCAGGUGUCUGGGACAGAAGCAGGUUCCAGGACGCUUCAGGUACCUGGGCCACUCUGCCGGCUUGACCUUGACAGACAGGCGAGGUCAUUCCUGAGGCAGCUCCUGGGAGGGCACAGCAGGUCUGAGGUUCUGGGGCCCGGAAUGCUCAGCUCCGCUGUGGAAUGUCCUUUCUCGUGUCAUAAGGGUCCUCAGCAACCACCAGCCUGGGUCCUCAGCAAGGAGAGCAGGUCUUCGGCUCUCGCUGGCCUGAAGGAGGCGAGGAAGGGCCCAGCAGUGUGGGAAGACAGUCGCCAUGGCGUCCGUGUCCUACCGGGAGCCGCUGUCGGAGGCCGUGGGGAAGCGAAUGACCGUCACAGAUGACUGCAAUUCCUAAUCACCCCGACUCCGCAUGAUUUGUUGCCAUCACUUUGAAGAGCAUUUAAGCAACUCCUUAGAAGAGGACUUUUAAGAGCAGGAAUCAGCUGUUUCAUGUGUGUAUGUGCCGUGGAUUUUUGUUGUCGUUGUUGGUGUUGUUUAAGAUUCAGAAAAGACAAAUUUUGUAUUUCAAUUUGUUCAGUAAGGAGAUAACAAAUAUUUUUACCCUCUAUUCCCUAAAUUCAUAAUUAAAUUUGGUAUAUACUUUGUAACACUAAAAUUGAGGAUUUUUUUGAAUUAGUCUUUUUAAGAUGCUAAUUACGAAAAUAUAUUUGAGAGAGCAGGAAAUAAACAUUUAUCAACUGGUUUCUAAAUCAUUCUCUCUUU